rnacentral:rRNA from 1 species
GGUUGUCGUCAGCUCGUGCCGUGAGGUUGUCGGGUUAAGUCCCAUAACGAGCGCAACCCUUAUCGUUAGUUGCCAGCGGGUAAAGCCGGGAACUCUAGCGAAACUGCCGGUGUAAACCGAGAGGAAGUGGGAUGACGUCAAAUCAGCACGGCCCUUAUGUCCAGGGCUACACACGUGUCACAAUGGCCGGUACAGACGGACGCAAAGCCGCGAGGUGGAGCAAAUCCUAAAAAGCCGGUCUCAGUUCGGAUUGCAGGCUGCAAUUCGCCUGCAUGAAGUCGGAAUCGCUAGUAAUCGCAGGUCAGCAUACUGCGGUGAAUACGUUCCCGGGCCUU